rnacentral:rRNA from 1 species
UCCAGACUCCUACGGGAGGCAGCAGUGAGGAAUAUUGGUCAAUGGGCGGGAGCCUGAACCAGCCAAGCCGCGUGAGGGAAGAAGGUACAGCGUAUCGUAAACCUCUUUUGUCAGGGAACAAAGGCGGGGACUAGUCCCCGGAUGAGGGUACCUGAAGAAAAAGCAUCGGCUAACUCCGUGCCAGCAGCCGCGGUAAUACGGAGGAUGCGAGCGUUAUCCGGAUUUAUUGGGUUUAAAGGGUGCGUAGGCGGAAUGCCAAGUCAGCGGUAAAAUCGCGGGGCUCAACCUCGCUCCGCCGUUGAAACUGGGUGCCUUGAGUGGGCGAGAAGUACGCGGAAUGCGUGGUGUAGCGGUGAAAUGCAUAGAUAUCACGCAGAACUCCGAUUGCGAAGGCAGCGUACCGGCGCCCAACUGACGCUGAAGCACGAAGGCGUGGGUAUCGAACAGGAUUAGAUACCCCAGUAA